rnacentral:rRNA from 1 species
GAGUGAAGCGGCAACAGCUCAAAUUUGAAAUCUGGCCCUCGGGUCCGAGUUGUAAUUUGCAGAGGAUGCUUUUGGCGAGGUGCCUUCCGAGUUCCCUGGAACGGGACGCCUUAGAGGGUGAGAGCCCCGUACGGUUGGACGCCGAGCCUCUGUAAAGCUCCUUCGACGAGUCGAGUAGUUUGGGAAUGCUGCUCUAAAUGGGAGGUAAAUUUCUUCUAAAGCUAAAUACCGGCCAGAGACCGAUAGCGCACAAGUAGAGUGAUCGAAAGAUGAAAAGUACUUUGAAAAGAGGGUUAAAUAGCACGUGAAAUUGUUGAAAGGGAAGCGUUUAUGACCAGACCUUCGCCGGGCGGAUCAGCCGGUAUUUUUUACCGGUGCACUUCGCCCGGCCUAGGCCAGCAUCGGUUCUCGCCGGGGGACAAAGGUCCGGGGAAUGUGGCUCCCUCCGGGGAGUGUUAUAGCCCCGGGCGUAAUGCCCUGGCGGGGACCGAGGUUCGCGCUUCUGCAAGGAUGCUGGCGUAAUGGUCAUCAACGACCCGUCUUGAAACACGGACCAAGGAGUCGAACAUUUGUGCGAGUGUUUGGGUGUUAAACCCUCACGCGUAAUGAAAGUGAACGGAGGUGAGAGCCCUGUACGGGGCGCAUCAUCGACCGAUCCUGAUGUCUUCGGAUGGAUUUGAGUAAGAGCAUAACUGUUCGGACCCGAAAGAUGGUGAACUAUGCGUGGAUAGGGUGAAGCCAGAGGAAACUCUGGUGGAGGCUCGCAGCGGUUCUGACGUGCAAAUCGAUCGUCAAAUCUGCGC